rnacentral:rRNA from 1 species
CCUACGGGAGGCAGCAGUGAGGAAUAUUGGUCAAUGGCCGGAAGGCUGAACCAGCCAAGUAGCGUGAAGGACGACGGUGCCAAGCAUUGUAAACUUCUUUUGUCAAGGGAUAAAAUGAGGCUCGAGAGCCUGAUCGCGGGUACCUGAUGAAAAAGCAUCGGCUAACUCCGUGCCAGCAGCCGCGGUAAUACGGAGGAUCCGAGCGUUAUCCGGAUUUAUUGGGUUUAAAGGGUGCGUAGGCGGACUGUUAAGUCAGCGGUGAAAGGCAGGGGCUCAACCGCGGCCGGGCAGUGGAAACUGGCUGUCUUGAGAGGGCUAGAGGUAGGCGGAAUGCGUGGUGUAGCGGUGAAAUGCUUAGAUAUUGCGAAGAACUCCGAUUGCGAAGGCAGCAUACCGGCGGGGAUCUGACGCUGAGGCUCGAAAGUGUGGGUAUCGAACAGGAUUAGAUACCCCAGUAGUC